rnacentral:rRNA from 1 species
UCGUCCUACGGGACGCAGCAGUGGGGAAUAUUGGGCAAUGGGCGCAAGCCUGACCCAGCAACGCCGCGUGAAGGAAGAAGGCUUUCGGGUUGUAAACUUCUUUUCUCAGGGACGAAGCAAGUGACGGUACCUGAGGAAUAAGCCACGGCUAACUACGUGCCAGCAGCCGCGGUAAUACGUAGGUGGCAAGCGUUAUCCGGAUUUACUGGGUGUAAAGGGCGUGUAGGCGGGAAAGCAAGUCAGAUGUGAAAUCCGGGGGCUCAACCCCCGAACUGCAUUUGAAACUGUAGGUCUUGAGUAUCGGG